CCUACGGGAGGCAGCAGUGGGGGAUAUUGCACAAUGGGGGGAACCCUGAUGCAGCGACGCCGCGUGGGUGAAGAAGCGCCUCGGCGCGUAAAGCCCUGUCAGCAGGGAAGAAAAUGACGGUACCUGAAGAAUAAGCCCCUGCUAACUACGUGCCAGCAGCCGCGGUAAUACGUAGGGGGCAAGCGUUAGCCGGAUUUACUGGGCGUCAAGCUCUCGUAGGCGGUAUGUCAAGGCACGGGUGAAAUCCCCGCGCUCAACGUGGGAACUGCCUUUGAAACUGGCAAACUGGAGUGUGUGAGAGGAUAGUGGAAUUCCAGGUGUAGGAGUGAAAUCCGUAGAUAUAUGGAGGAACAUCAGUGGCGAAGGCGACUAUCUGGCACAUAACUGACGCUGAGGAGCGAAAGCGUGGGUAGCAAACAGGAUUAGAUACCCCUGUAGUC
rnacentral:rRNA from 1 species